GAUGAAGAACGCAGCGAAAUGCGAUAAGUAAUGUGAAUUGCAGAAUUCAGUGAAUCAUCGAAUCUUUGAACGCACAUUGCGCCCGCCAGUAUUCUGGCGGGCAUGCCUGUUCGAGCGUCAUUUCAACCAUCAAGCCCUGCUUGCGUUGGGGUCCUGCGGCUGCCCGCAGGCCCUGAAAACCAGUGGCGGGCUCGCUAGUCACACCGAGCGCAGUAAUACAUCUCGCUUUGGGCGUGCGGCGGGUUCUUGCCGUUAAACACCCCCUUUUUACCAAGGUUGACCUCGGAUCAGGUAGGAAUACCCGCUGAACUUAAGCAUAUCAAGCGGAGGA
rnacentral:misc_RNA from 1 species